GUUGGGAAUAUUGCACAAUGGGCGAAAGCCUGAUGCAGCGACGCCGCGUGAGCGAUGAAGUAUUUCGGUACGUAAAGCUCUAUCAGCAGGGAAGAUAAUGACGGUACCUGACUAAGAAGCACCGGCUAAAUACGUGCCAGCAGCCGCGGUAAUACGUAGGUGGCGAGCGUUAUCCGGAUUUAUUGGGUGUAAAGGGCGUGUAGGCGGGACAGAAAGUCAGAUGUGAAAAACAGAGGCUCAACCUCUGUCCUGCAUUUGAAACUGUUGUUCUUGAGUGUCGGAGAGGUAAUCGGAAUUCCGUGUGUAGCGGUGAAAUGCGUAGAUAUACGGAGGAACACCAGUGGCGAAGGCGGAUUACUGGACGAUAACUGACGCUGAGGCGCGAAAGCGUGGGGAGCAAACAGGAUUAGAUACCCCAGUAGUCC
rnacentral:rRNA from 1 species